AAGGGGCACCCUGAAUAUCACAGGGCUAGAGCUAUUGCUACGCUUCAGUUUAACUGCCAUUUGGCUCUGAUAGUGGUUUUGGUGGUGGGAGUGUAUUUGAUUGUGGCGAGGAAAACAGGAGUUGUUGCUGAUUUCUCAAGCUAUAAGCCGCUUGGCGCGGAAAUGCAGCAUCAGAUUAAUAGUCAGGGGCAGUUUACUUUGGAUUCGGAGGAUGAUGGUGAUGAGGAGGUUAGAGAAGAGGGCAAUGUGGUUAUGAACAAGGCCGGCGGGGAAGUGGAAUUGGGUGUGAAUGGUAAUGGGACUUAUAAAUGAGGUCGACUGACAUGUUAGUACUAAUUUACUUCUUCCGUUGCUCUGGAGUAUGGAAUAUUGGUGGCGUAAAUCAAUCUUUGUGCAACCCUCCCCAUUGUAAAGAUCAUAAAAAAGAAGAUACAAAGAAGAAUGGGUAUCGUUGAUGUUUAAGCUGGAAGAAAAUAUGUAUAUAGGAGCAGGGUAAAUGUUAACCUUUUGUUCCCUAAAACCUCUUUCCUAAUUUUAAAUGAAACUUCAUUACUCGUCUGA